rnacentral:rRNA from 1 species
GAUGAACGCUGGCGGCGUGCCUAAUACAUGCGAGUCGAGCGAACAGAUGAGGAGCUUGCUCCUCUGACGUUAGCGGCGGACGGGUGAGUAACACGUGGAUAACCUACCUAUAAGACUGGGAUAACUUCGGGAAACCGGAGCUAAUACCGGAUAAUAUAUUGAACCGCAUGGUUCAAUAGUGAAAGACGGUUUUGCUGUCACUUAUAGAUGGAUCCGCGCCGCAUUAGCUAGUUGGUAAGGUAACGGCUUACCAAGGCAACGAUGCGUAGCCGACCUGAGAGGGUGAUCGGCCACACUGGAACUGAGACACGGUCCAGACUACUACGGGAGGGAGCAGUAGGGAAUCUUACGCAAUGGGCGAAAGCAUGACGGAGCAACGCCGAGUGAGUGAUGAAGGUCUUCGGAUCGUAAAACUCUGUUAUUAGGGAAGAACAAAUGUGUAAGUAACUAUGCACGUCUUGACGGUACCUAAUCAGAAAGCCACGGCUAACUACGUG